rnacentral:sRNA from 1 species
CCCUUGUCCGCAGAGGGACAGUAGUUCUGUCCAAGCCAGGUUCUGCUGCAAAACCUCAGGGACUUCCUGCCUCGAGGAUCUGGCAUUGUCACCCGACGUCCCCUGGUCUUGCAGCUGGUCAAUGCAAC